rnacentral:rRNA from 1 species
CGUUCCAUUAGUUAGUUGGCGGGGUAACGGCCCACCAAGACAACGAUGGAUAGGGGUUCUGAGAGGAAGGUCCCCCACAUUGGAACUGAGACACGGUCCAAACUCCUACGGGAGGCAGCAGUGAGGAAUAUUGGUCAAUGGACGAGAGUCUGAACCAGCCAAGUAGCGUGAAGGAUGACUGCCCUAUGGGUUGUAAACUUCUUUUAUAUGGGAAUAAAACGUUCCACGUGUGGGAUUUUGUAUGUACCAUAUGAAUAAGGAUCGGCUAACUCCGUGCCAGCAGCCGCGGUAAUACGGAGGAUCCGAGCGUUAUCCGGAUUUAUUGGGUUUAAAGGGAGCGUAGGUGGAUUGUUAAGUCAGUUGUGAAAGUUUGCGGCUCAACCGUAAAAUUGCAGUUGAAACUGGCAGUCUUGAGUACAGUAGAGGUGGGCGGAAUUCGUGGUGUAGCGGUGAAAUGCUUAGAUAUCACGAAGAACUCCGAUUGCGAAGGCAGCUCACUGGACUGCAACUGACACUGAGGCUCGAAAGUGUGGGUAUCAAACAGGAUUAGAUACCCUGGUAGUCCACAC